CAGUAGCCACGGUAAUACGAAGGGGGCUAGCGUUGCUCGGAAUUACUGGGCGUAAAGGGAGCGUAGGCGGAUCGUUAAGUUGGGGGUGAAAGCCCGGGGCUCAACCUCGGAACUGCCUUCAAUACUGGCGAUCUUGAGUAUGAGAGAGGUGUGUGGAACUCCGAGUGUAGAGGUGAAAUUCGUAGAUAUUCGGAAGAACACCAGUGGCGAAGGCGACACACUGGCUCAUUACUGACGCUGAGGCUCGAAAGCGUGGGGAGCAAACAGGAUUAGAUACCCCCGUAGUCCCUGUCUCUUAUAC
rnacentral:rRNA from 1 species